rnacentral:rRNA from 1 species
UCGGGAGCGCCGGGAGGCGCCGGGCGGCGUUUCGAUUCGGACCCGACCGCGGGCCGAGCCGCCUGGCAGCAGUCUCCCGCGAGUCCGACGCAUUUCCUCCCGCACGGCGGACGCCGCAACCGGUUGGGUAGCCGCAAGAGUCGGCCAGAAGGAUCGGCGACGGCAGGUGUUCCGGGGGGAGACUUCGGUCCUCCCCCGGUUGUUAUAGCCGGCCGUUCCGUGGCGCGACACCCGACCGAGGUCCACGCUCCCGAUUUCGGGAGCGCCCAGCCGUCCCCUCCUCGCAGAGCGGGUGGGCCGGCAAGCCGGUUCCUAGGCGGCGAGUCACCCUCCGCGGUGGCCGCCCCGUGGAUUCCGGCCGCUGGCCGUCCACUUCCCGCCGGGGCGCUGUUCCUCCUCCGGAGGUUUGCGGCGAGUAGGUCGGUCACCCACCCGACCCGUCUUGAAACACGGACCAAGGAGUCUAACAUGUGCGCGAGUCAUUGGGUCUUGUUCAGGCCCAGAGGCGCAAUGAAAGUGAAGGCGCCGUCUCGCGACGGCUGCCGUGUUGGGACCCUCCGGCCUCCGCGCCGGGGGAGCACCAACGACCCGUCCCGUCCGGCUCGCCGGUGGAGCGGAGUCUGAGCGUACACGUUGGGACCCGAAAGAUGGUGAACUAUGCCUGGGCAGGACGAAGCCAGAGGAAACUCUGGUGGAGGUCCGCAGCGGU